UGGCCUUCUCGGACUGCACCGUCCUCAUCUCGAUCCAGCUGGUCACAAUGCUGUGGGAGAGAAGGUCAGGGCUGCAGGCUCACGGGUUCCAGCCCAGGUCCGUGGGGUUGAUGUAGAGGAUUCCUGCCCGGGACACAGUCGCUGGCGUGGCAGUCCGCAGGUGGCUGAUCUCGAAGAGGAGCCGCAUGGUGGGGUUGAGGGGGAUGCGCUCAUUGCUGGCCAAGCUUCAGCUCCAGCAUGGACUGCUUAAUGAUCUGGGAAGGAGAGCAGGCGCUGACCACAGGCAGCCAUCACCGCCUUGGCAAGACCUCCAGAGAUGAGCCAGCUGCCCCCAGAAGUGCCGAAUGGAUCUUCAGCCUCUGGACCCUGCCACGGCUGGGAUGUCUGUGGUGCUGGUACUGCGCCAG